ACCGGCAGCCCCCUGCCCGCUUAUCGGCGGAGGGCACGGCAGGGUUAUCUCCACACCGGCCGGCUCUCCCCGCCCUAUCGGCCCUCCUCAGGGGACGGGACGCCCCUCGCAGCCGGCGCCAGGGCCGCUGCGAGCGCUCCCGCUCCCCGAGGGAGGCUGUUUCCUCACGGGGGCCUGGCGGCUUCUCUGACCCCACAGGGGCAGCACGAGGGGAGCUACUGCCAAGGCCGCGUCCCCCCCACCAUGGAGGGGCUGCCAGCAGCGCCUCAUCACCUUGUGUUAAGGGCCCAGUGGGUGUUGGGGUCCCUGAGCAGCCCCCUUAGCUCUCUGACCCCUCACUGCGCAACGGGCUCCGGGGGCUAAGGGUGCCCACUCCCCACUGGGGAAAACCAUCCCUGGUGGGAAAAGCUCUCUUGGCCCCCCGGGGCUCCUCAGGAGUGGUAGCUGGAGCUAGCUGGUCUGUCUGCCUCUUGAGCUGGGAGGCCAUGGUGGCUCUGACCAUAGCAGCUUUUGAGGAGCCCCUUCCAGGACACCCCAGCUUCUGUGUUCUCCCUGUCCCUCUGAAAUCAGGACAGGCUGAUCUUCCAAGCUGAAGAUGUGGCACUUACCAGAUGUUGAUGCUGUUUGCACUACAUGGCCCGUGAACAGCAGUUUAGCCUGGUGAGGUUGACUCAUGGGGACUGGCUCUUUGCCAUUGUUUGUAAAAGUCAUUCCUUGGACUUUCUAUCAAUCAGACAUUCCUUUCAAGAAAGUAUCAUUAGUUAUUUUGGCACCCUCCAGUCUUUGCUUUUAUGUUCUCCCCAAUUCCUCACUGUUCUUAGCGUUUAUUCAAGUAGUUACGGCACGUAGGUCCUUUCUACCACACCUUCUUGUUUACAAACCUAAUUUAAACACAGUACUUGAGGAAUCAGACCAUGGUAGACAAAGACAAAAGGAUUUGCAAUGAGUUUUGUAAGCAGCAUUCUGUUAUUACUGAACAGUUUUCACACACACUAAAUUCUACUUAAAUUAUUUUUCCAGAAUUCACCGUUGGGGAUUCACUCUGCUGGAUCUAGCUGUGCUGCAUCCCCUGUUUGCUGUCCGUCUGAUUCCUACUUCUAGAAGUCCUCCAGAGGCAGAGCUAGGACAUCACCUGCUGACAGCCCACUCCCACCUUCGUGUAAUCCAGCCAAAAUCAGUCACCAGCCAGCAAGCGUUUGCCAAGGGCAGACCUCCUGUAGAUCUCUCAAAGCUACAAGGAAGUCCGGUCCGAAACCACUGCUGGAGUGAAACCCUAAUCUCAGCACCAAUUUGCCUGAAGAGAUUUCAAAUUCGUGUUCUCAUUGCUGGGUCACAUCAUUAAAUAAAUAGAAGCUUUUAAGUAACUGCACAUGGAAGAAAGCGAGCUGUUUUGUUCCUGCAGUGCCUCUAGCCCAGCGGGAGCCCCACAGGGAUUCCAGCUCUGGCCAGCAGUGCCUGGAGCUACCGAAACCUGCUCUUUAGACAUGGAAGAGGGGACAUGUCUCUGCUGAAUGGCAUCAUCCUCAUCUCCCCCAUUCGCCAGGACUGCUGUGACCUGAACACACCACCACCAUUUCUGCCCACAGCCAGGCUUAUGGAAGAUGCUUAUGUUAGAAGCCGGAUUGCCAGAGUUCCUCUCUACUCAACUGAUGUUUAUGUGGGCUUGUUAAACGCCUGAGCUUUGAUUGAGGGCAAAACAUCUAAUCUAGACGCUGAGAAUUCAGCUCCAGGAUGGUGCAAAUAUCCCAUAGAAAAACUAAUGACGUGGCACAAAUUAUCUCCCUGAGGUGGACAAAGGCUGGGAGCAGUGGAAGCAGACAGACCACGAAUCCCAGCGGUACCUGAGUGCUGCUGUUGAAGAUGCUGUGGUAGUGCUUGGGGAACCAUCACCCAGGAGUACCCAGCCUGUAAAUCCAUCUGCUGGACACGGAUCUGAGCAUUUGACAGCUGGGUGAAGUGGGGAGGGGGUGUCUGUGGUGUGUGGUCCCUGAAUGAUGGAGCCCCAGGUGCUAGAUGAAUGCUGGGGAACCCCACUGCUGCCUGGAUGUGGACCAGGGACACGGCCCCGCUUUCCCACCUGGGAGAAGAGCAGACAUCAGUCUGUAUCAGCGAGGAGAAACCUAUCUGAAAAUUUCCCUAUCAGAGGUGAAACUCACCUUCGAACAACAAAGCCACCCCUUCCAGGGGAAGGAAAAGCAAAGAAACCUAGUUUUCACUGACCUGCUAUGAGGAGAUGUCUAUGCGAAGCUGCGGCUGUAGAACUGCUGUGGUGCAAACAGUUCUCCCAGAAUAAAGGUCUUUGGCUCAAAUCAGCUCCUUCAUUGCACUGAGGAGGGUGGCUGUCAGGAGGAGGCAUUAGUGAGUGCUAGCAGGGCACUACCAACCAGCUUUUCUUACAACUCUAGGCACCUUUCACCUGGAGACGAAUGAACAUUUUUAGCUCUCCGCAUGCUGUUUGUGGAUUGUCACACACAAAAAAAAUAAGUAAACCUCUUACAACUAAUUAACAGCUACCACUUAUAAAAGUUCUUUGAGUAUCAAUACGAACUGCUGCUCCACUCAUCUCAGUGUGCAGCGUUUGCACGUUAUCAAGGCAGAGAAUGAAGCGAGUGGGAGUCGGGCGCAGGGAGCUCAAUCAGGCUCCGUGGGCUGAACGCGGUCCUCGGCGCAGCGCUGGAUCUCACGCUUAAUAAAUAAUUGUGACAGAUGUUGAGAAAUCUGAAAGCUCGUAUUUUAAUGUGGUGCUAAAUUCAAGUAGACAUGUCUACAGAAUAAAAAAUGAGAGAAUUUAGACUAAGCCAGUCUAAAUGUGCUGAAAUUUCAUCAUUAAGCAUCUAUUUAAGCACCUUCGAGUUAAUGCUUUCAGGAUCAGGAGCCAGAGACGUGUGUGUUUGGUGGUUGUGCAGGCACUGGGACGUGGUGCGGUUCCACGGGGAGCUGAUGGGGUGAUAUGGCAAGAGACCACCAGUACCGAGCUGCUCUGAGUCCCAGGGGGAAAGAGACAGGGCUUGAAACGCAUUCAGCCUAACAGAACUGCCUUUUGUCUUUUUUCUCUGCCAUUGUAGUAUCUGUGCAUCAAGCUUUGUGCUUAAGCAAAGCUUAAAGCUGAUGGUAUAUAGGAAAGGCCAGACCCAUCCGUUGUUUCCGUGGUAGUUUUUCUGUGAUUGCUUAUUGCAGCAGAGAACUCAGACUGAAAUGUCCCCUGGCCCUGCACGUAACAGGUCUCUCCUGGCAGCAGUGCUCAGGAGAGCAGGUUAUUUCUGUCACCUUCCCCAAGCAACCAUUGUGGUUAAAACAGGGCAUUGUCCCUAGCCAGCAUCCCUCAUCUCCCAUGGAGAAGAUAAUUAGAAAAGCAAUUAUUUAAAUUGUUUGGAGACCUUCCAGAUGAAAUACCUACUGCCGGAGAAGAGUGAAGGUGAAGGAAUGUUUCCAGAAAACAAACGUCCACACUUCACAUAUCCAAGGGCUGAAUAAGGGGCUUGCCUGGUGACUGAUGCUCGCGGAGCCUGACUCACAUAAGCUGCAUGGACUGGAGUCAGCGGGGUUACUUAAACCUCAGUCUGCAAAGGGCUGGGUGAUAAAUUUCAGACCCUGAUUUGGCUACGGGAAUAAGCCAGAAAUGUAGGUAAGGUCACAGACUGUACUUCAUUUCAUAUUUCUGGUG